UGGGGAAUAUUGCACAAUGGGGAACCGUAGAUGCAGCCAUGCCGCGUGUAUGAAGAAGGCCUUAGGGUUGUAAAGUACUUUCGGUGAUGAGGAAGGUACUUGGUCUAAUAGGCCAAGUAAUUGACGUUAAUUACAGAAGAAGCACCGGCUAACUCCGUGCCAGCAGCCGCGGUAAUACGGAGGGUGCGAGCGUUAAUCGGAAUGACUGGGCGUAAAGGGCAUGUAGGCGGAUGAUUAAGUUAGGUGUGAAAUCCCGACGCUCAACUUGGGAAUUGCAUUUAAAACUGGUCGUCUAGAGUAUUGUAGAGGAAGGUAGAAUUCCACGUGUAGCGGUGAAAUGCGUUAGAGAUGUGGAGGAAUACCGGUGGCGAAGGCGGCCUUCUGGACAGAUACUGACGCUGAGAUGCGAAAGCGUGGGGAGCAAACA
rnacentral:rRNA from 1 species